GAUGAACGCUAGCGGCAGGCCUAACACAUGCAAGUCGAGGGGUAGAAGGAGCUUGCUCCUUUGAGACCGGCGCACGGGUGCGUAACGCGUAUGCAAUCUACCUUGUACAGGGGAAUAGCCCAGAGAAAUUUGGAUUAAUGCCCCAUAGUAUAUAACCUUCGCAUGUUGGUUAUAUUAAAGUUCCAACGGUACAAGAUGAGCAUGCGUCCCAUUAGUUAGUUGGUAAGGUAACGGCUUACCAAGACGAUGAUGGGUAGGGGUCCUGAGAGGGAGAUCCCCCACACUGGUACUGCGACACGGACCAGACUCCUACGGGAGGCAGCAGUGAGGAAUAUUGGUCAAUGGUCGCAAGACUGAACCAGCCAUGCCGCGUGCAGGAAGACGGUCCUAUGGAUUGUAAACUGCUUUUAUACAGGAAGAAACCCUCCCACGUGUGGGAGCUUGACGGUACUGUAGGAAUAAGGAUCGGCUAACUCCGUG
rnacentral:rRNA from 1 species